AGAAAAUCAGUGUCUAACUGUGAUGUAGCUCAUUAAAGGCAUUUUACAUGUUUUGGCAGCUUUAGAGAUAUAAAUUGCGAAACAAUUUAGCGAGGACACUAGCCUGGCGAAAUCAGUUUCCAUAUCAGUGCUUGUAGAUAUUUGUGGCUUGGAACUUUUUCUCCAAAUUAAAACAGUUGAAUUUUUGUCGAAAUAUGUCCUAAUUGUUACCUUAUGUCCUUUUGUCGCUGUGGGUACAUCCGACUGCACUUCGUUAUGAGUACAGACUAGGGUUAGCCGACAGACCGAUGGAUUGCCGCGAAAGGUAAGUAGAAACAAUUUGUGCAGGCAAUUGCUGUUUUGCCCAUAUAUAGUUACGCUGCUGUAUAAGAAACAGGUUUCAAUUGGAUUUAUAUUGACUGUUGUCACUGUCCGACGGACACGUAAAUUACCUUCUGACGUAAUGUAUAUUAAUGCGCAUAUUCCAGGAAAACUUGAAUUGUUUAGGUAAUGUUUUUGAGAGAUAGAAGAGAUUUUUCAAGCACAGAUUGGACGGACAUUAUAUGAUAAAGAGGUGAUCACGCUUAACCAUUAGGAUAUUUACCAUUCCCAAACACACUCACGUGAUAACCUCCAUUUAUGAGCAGUCAGAAAUAGAUUCCAUCUAUAUCUGUGUCUGGGUAAGACAAACCAGUGGUUGAAAGCAUGAGCAAUGAUCCACACCUUUGUGUGAUGACACACAAAGAGCCAGGUCACAUCUUGGCCACACAAGCAUGGGAUGCUGUGCUCCUGUUCUGCCCUCGGUGUGUUUUGUGGUUGUUUAUCGCUGCACUCAGCAAUAUUCCGGUUCCAUGAUGGCGGUCUGUAAAUAAUCAAGUCUGGACCAGAAAAUCCAGUGAUUGACAUUAUGAGCAUCAAUCCACACAAUUGGGAUCGAUGACAUGCAUCAACCAACUCGAUCCCGUUAGUCGGCUCUUGUGGACAAGCAUAGUUGCCUUUUAUGGCACUUAUGGGUUGCUGAAGGUCUAUUCAUCACCGGAUCUUUAUGGGUCCUGCCCUCGAGUCCCCACUAAGUAACACAUAUAACACAAUAUCAUUUGGAACAUUGUUUAACUAUAUAUAUGAUCGUGAAUAUCCUGAUAUAAAUAUGAUGAAAUAUCCUUGAUCUAGCUUGGACAAGUCCACUGAUUAGCAUACAAUAUGCACUGCCAUAUCACAUAUUCACAUCUUAUUGUAUUGUUCACCAUGUUCACCAAAAUGAAUUAAUAUUAGAUUUUCUUUCAAAUGGAUCAAUAGGUAGGAGACUUUUAAUUUGGAUAUUAUAUUUUUUUUCAAAUGAACCAUAAAAGUAAUCUGUGCACAUUAAUCAUUGAUUGAUAUGAUUCCCACAAACAGAAACCUUCGGAGGACUCUCAUCAACUCAAUGGGAAUACAUCGCUUGUCUUCAUUUGUGGGUACAAGUGAACAAUAAGAUGAGCCAAGGCUGAUGUUAGGUGAAUGUCCCAGUCUGGAAGCCAAGGCACGUACAGUGUGAUCUCCACAUGCAACAGAAGCUCAAAAUAAACUUAUACAUUUUU